GGCGGGAUAGCUCAGCCGGUUAGAGCGCAGGAUUCAUAAUCCUGAGGUCGGGAGUUCGAGUCUCCCUCCCGCUACCA
rnacentral:tRNA from 1 species